GACAGAGGAUGCAAGCGUUAUCCGGAAUGAUUGGGCGUAAAGCGUCUGUAGGUGGCUUUUUAAGUCCGCCGUCAAAUCCCAGGGCUCAACCCUGGACAGGCGGUGGAAACUACCAAGCUGGAGUACGGUAGGGGGCAGAGGGAAUUUCCGGUGGAGCGGUGAAAGUGCGUGAGAGAGUCGGAAAGAACACCAACGGCGAAAGCACUCUGCUGGGCCGACACUGACACUGGAGAGACGAAAGCUAGGGGAGCGAAUGGG
rnacentral:rRNA from 1 species